rnacentral:rRNA from 1 species
UACGGGGGGGGGCAAGCGUUGUUCGGAAUUACUGGGCGUAAAGGGCUCGUAGGCGGCCAACUAAGUCAGACGUGAAAUCCCCGGGCUCAACCCGGGAACUGCGUCCGAUACUGGAAGGCUUGAAUUCGGGAGAGGGAUGCGAGAUUCCAGGUGUAGCGGUGAAAUGCGUAGAUAUCUGGAGGAACACCGGUGGCGAAGGCGGCAUCCUGGACCGACAUUGACGCUGAUGAGCGAAAGCUAGGGGAGCAAACAGG